CUUGACCUCAAAUCGGGUGAGACUACCCGCUGAACUUAAGCAUAUCAAUAAGCGGAGGAAAAGAAACUAACAAGCAUUCCCCUAGUAACUGCGAGUGAAGCGGGAAAAGCUCAAAUUUAAAUC
rnacentral:rRNA from 1 species